rnacentral:rRNA from 1 species
UACGGGGGGGGCAAGCGUUGUUCGGAAUUACUGGGCGUAAAGGGCUCGUAGGCGGCCAACUAAGUCAGACGUGAAAUCCCUCGGCUUAACCGGGGAACUGCGUCUGAUACUGGAUGGCUUGAGUUUGGGAGAGGGAUGCGGAAUUCCAGGUGUAGCGGUGAAAUGCGUAGAUAUCUGGAGGAACACCGGUGGCGAAAGCGCUCUACUGGACCUCAUCUGACACUCAGGGACGAAAGCUAGGGGAGCGAAUGGG